UGGUUCUGCAACAGAAGUCACCACCCAGGAGAUUUUAUGUGAUGUUGAUCUGGUGCUGGAUACCACUUCCAAGCUGGAGAGGAUAACUUCCUGGUUUAGAAGAGCAAGAUGUGUGCAGACACACCUACUUCCCUUAACCUUUCAUUUCGGCAUUCAGACAAUCAGGGCUGUUGACCAGCGGGAUAUACUAACUGGAGCAACACCAAAAUGGCAAGCAGAUUUCCCUGGCGUUCCUAGUAUGGCUGCAGAGAGAUUGAAGGGGUCCAUCUCGAGCACAGUUGGAAUGAUGACGUCCGACUUCCAUCAAUGAAGGUAACAAAGAUUCCCUUCAAGUGAAAGAAAGAGCUCAAUUGCUCAAUGGCUGCUGGAUCAAG